rnacentral:sRNA from 1 species
UAUUCCUAAACAUGCAGAGACUAAUAAUCACUUGUGUUUUGAUUGUUUUCUUUGUUUCACCAUGUUUAUGUAAGAGGUUGUUGAUGGCAACUUCCAACACAUACAAUGUGAUUGAUUAUGGUGCCAAAGGAGAUGGUGAAACUGAUGACUCCCAGGCAUUCUUAAGUGCAUGGAAAAAGACCUGUUCGACAGAUGGUGAAUCAAGC